UGGGGAAUUUUGCACAAUGGGGGAAACCCUGAUGCAGCGACGCCGCGUGAUUUAGAAGGCCUUCGGGUUGUAAAAAUCUUUUCUAUGGGAAGAAAAUGACAGUACCAUAGGAAUAAGGACCGGCUAAUUACGUGCCAGCAGCCGCGGUAAUACGUAAGGUCAGAGCGUUGUCCGGAAUCAUUGGGCGUAAAGGGUACGUAGGCGGGUAAGCAAGUUAGAAGUGAAAUCCUAUAGCUCAACUAUAGUAAGCUUUUAAAACUGCUCAUCUUGAGGUAUGGAAGGGAAAGUGGAAUUCCUAGUGUAGCGGUGAAAUGCGCAGAUAUUAGGAGGAAUACCGGUGGCGAAGGCGACUUUCUGGCCAUAACCUGACGCUGAGGUACGAAAGCGUGGGUAGCAAACAGG
rnacentral:rRNA from 1 species